UGGGGAAUAUUGCACAAUGGGCGCAAGCCUGAUGCAGCCAUGCCGCGUGUGUGAAGAAGGCCUUCGGGUUGUAAAGCACUUUCAGCGAGGAGGAAGGUGGUGAGCUUAAUACGCUCAUCAAUUGACGUUACUCGCAGAAGAAGCACCGGCUAACUCCGUGCCAGCAGCCGCGGUAAUACGGAGGGUGCAAGCGUUAAUCGGAAUUACUGGGCGUAAAGCGCACGCAGGCGGUUUGUUAAGUCAGAUGUGAAAUCCCCGGGCUCAACCUGGGAACUGCAUUUGAAACUGGCAAGCUAGAGUCUCGUAGAGGGGGGUAGAAUUCCAGGUGUAGCGGUGAAAUGCGUAGAGAUCUGGAGGAAUACCGGUGGCGAAGGCGGCCCCCUGGACGAAGACUGACGCUCAGGUGCGAAAGCGUGGGGCAGCAAACAGGAUUAGAUACCCUGGUAGUCCACGCUGUAAAACGAUGUCGAUUUUGGAGGUUGUGCCCUUGAGGCGUGGCUUCCGGAGCUAACGCGUUAAAUCGACCGCCUGGGGAGUACGGCCGCAAGGUUAAAACUCAAAUGAAUUGCGGGGUCU
rnacentral:rRNA from 1 species